AGGGCCGCACCUGUGGCAUAUGGAGGUUCCCAGGCUAGGGUUCAAAUCAGAGCCAUAGCCCCUGGCCUAUGCCACAGCCACAGCAACAUGAGAUCUGAGCAACAACACCUGACCUACACCACAGCUCUAAGCAGCACCGGAUCCUUGACCCACUGAGCAAGGCCAGGGAUCAAAACUACAUCCUCAUGGAUGCUAGUCAGAUUCAUUUCCACUGAGCCAUGAUGGGAACUCCAUGCCAUUAUUUUUUCAUGUACAAAAUAAAAUGGACCAGAUCAUCUGAAACCCAUUUCAGCUCUUAAGAAUCCAUACGGUAUACGUUUAAAUGUUUUCAGAUCGUUCUCCCCUGCCUACCAUUUAAAACCAAACACUCUUCAUUUACCUCCUUUUCUUCCCCUUUGUCUCUCUACCCAGGAUGUUCAUUGCCCACAUGAUUCACAUUUAUUUCUAUCUAAAUCCUAUCAAUUCUCAAAGUGUUACAUCCCCUUAUCCCUCAACUAGAAGUGAUCUCAUUCAUCCCUAAACUUCUGCCAUAGACCCUUUAGGGAACAUCACCUUGCCUGUGGCAUGGGUUUUUGAGAGUACUCAUCUUCCCUGCCCAUUAAAUUUCAGCUUCUUGAGGUCAAGUGCUAAGUCCAAUUCACCCUAAUUUUCCUUUGCUGCCAAUCAAAUCCCUGGACGUAGAGGAAUCUAUACACAUUAUUUGAAUGGAUGACUAAGUGCAGAAUCCCCUAUGCACCCUCUAGGUUAUAAAGAACUACUCCCCAGGAGAAACGCACGUGCUGCCCUGCCAGCUUGUUUCAGAGGCUUCCAAAUUUUCUACAUAUGUCAAAUCAAGACUUAAGGUGGAUUUCAGUCACUCACUUUUAUUUUUACCUUUUAUUUUUUUCUACUGUUUUAAAUGAACAAUUCAUUUGGAUGAAAUCACUAAAAAUUGAAAAUUUUUUUUAAAAAUUAGAAAAGAAGGAAGCUGAACACAAAGGCAAGCGGAUGAAGGAGAUGCUAAUAACACUGAACCUACAAAUCUCAGAGUCUUCCGUGGUGAACAUAAACUCUAAAUGCCCAGAAGGAAAACAACAACAACAACAAAAUCGACUCCCCAAAGUUGCCAUCCAUCUUUACAAAGUCAGUGCCAAGUGAGCACUACCUUCGGCUGUCUGGUCAAGGUUGGUGGAAUAGGAUUUAUUUCUUUAUUGUUCCAAAUGGUUUAGUAGAGAAUUGUUUGCACCACUUUGUCCCUACCUCUCUGAACAAGAGCUAACCGGUGCAGAGGAAUGAGAGCCUUUACUCUGGUGUGGCAGUAAGAACUGCCCAGUGGCUGAGCGGGAGUACCACUCACCAGGAGGAUCCUAAGAGUGGUCCUGCUGGUUUUUGCCUAUAGAUCUGAGGAAAUAAGAUGAGCGAAGAUGUGGUGUUCUGAUAAGAGAACUGGACUAGGACUCAUGAGACUGUGGGUGCUGGUUUUGCCCCUCGGUAUCUUUUUAUGCAAGUUACUUGACUUCUUUGAGUCCCACUUUUUCCAUCUAUAAAACGAAGGGUUUGGGCUGCAUUAGUGGAAGUACUUGGCAAUGGUAACCUACACGUAUACUUCUAAAACUACCAAUACCCAGGGCUCAUCCCUAGAGAUGGAUCAAUCAGUAUAGGAUGAGACCCAGGCAUCAGUGAUUUUAAAGCUGAGAACCCAUUGGGCUAGAUCACCAUUCUAACAUCCUUUGAUUCUAUGGAAAUCUUUCUAGAAUCCAGGAGGUGUCCUUUUUCAUCAUAUAGGACAAAUCUGAGAGAAGAAUCUGGCAGAAACCUAAGUAAUCUAUUUGAGUGGAAAUACUGACAACAUACUUUUCAUCUCACAGUGGUCUAUAAACCUAUGAUCUUUUCCAUAAGAUGUCCGUGGGUGUGGUGCCCAUGACUUUGAUCCUGGCCAUCCCAAUGCACACAGACCCUAUUAAAAUAGGGCUUAGCCAAGAGAAUGGGGCAGGAGUUGGCACCAAUGAAUGUUAAUCACCCAGUGUGUCUGAGCGGCUUCUCAUGCCGUAGGAAGAUGCUAAUCAUAUCAGGUUGCUAUCUGAGUGAGAUUCUACUUUCCAAUGCCCUUUCCCUUUUAAUUCCCAAUUCCAGAGAUACGUUAUCAAGUUGAGUUUCUUUAUGGUGUGAACUUAACGCACUGAUUAGCAAGUUAUGGUGGCUAAGACAGGAUCUGUAUCCCCACAAGGAAGGAAAUAGGCACUAACAACGCACGGCAAUAUUUAAUAGUAGUUAUUAGGGUGGAGUUAGGUUUGGCCUUUGGCUUGGAGUGAGAGUUGGGGAUAGAAUUAGGGAUAAGGGUGGUAUAAUGGUUAAUUUUAUGUGUCAACUUGACUGAGUCAUAUAGUAUCCAGAUAUUUGCUCAAGCAUUAUUCUGGGUACUUCUGUGAGGGUGACUAGAUGAGAUUAAGAUUUAAAUCAGUGAACUGAGUAAAGUAGAUUGCCCUCCUUAUGUGGGUGGGCCUCACCCAAUCACUUGAAGGUAUGAACAGACCACAAGGGUCAACCCUCCCCCAAGUUAGGAAGAAUCCUUCCUGCUUGAUGACCAUAGAACUAAGAAAUCAGCUUUUUUCCUGUAUUUGAACUGAAACAUCAGCGCUUCCUGAGUCUUAGGCCUGCAGCAUCCAUAAUCACAUGAGCUGAUUCCUUAUAACGAGUCUUUUUCUCUGUACUUAUGCAUCCUGUUUGUUCCCUUUCUCUAGCAAACUCGGACUGACACAGAUGGAAUAGGGUUGGGAAUAGAGCUGGGGAUACAAGUUGGAAUAGGGUUAGGAUGGGCCAGGGGUUGGGAUUAGAAUCAGGAUUGGGGAUGGAUCUGGGCAGAGUGUUGGGGUUGGCUUUGGCCUAGGUUGUGGUUUAGAAUCAUUCAGAGGAGGGUGCAAAUGAUGAGGGAGACAGAAUAGCAAACAUAUUUUCCUAAUAUUAUCAUUGCUGAUACGACCUUGAAAAAGAGAAACUGAUUACUGAGUGACUACCAAACACCAAGAUUUACUCUUAACUCUCUUAUUUACCUUAUGAUAAUAGGAGCUCCUGUCCUGGCUCAGCAGCAAAGAACCUGACUAAUAUCCAUGAGGAUUCAUGUUCGAUCCCUCGCCUUGCUCAGUGGGUUAAGGAUCUGGCAUUGCUGUGCCUGUGGUGUAGGCUAGCGGCUGCAGCUCCAAUUUGACCCCUAGCCUGGGAUCUUCCAUAUGCCACAGGGGCGGCCCUAAAAGAUGAAAAAAAUUAUGAUAAUGGCAAUAAUUAUUUUUUUGAGUAUUAUUUCCUUUAAUCCUCUUAAAAACCCUCUCAAAUAGAUAUUACCCUACCCUUUUAACACAAGAAACUGAGGGCAUAUAGAGAUAAGGAAACUCCUAAAUGGAGGAUGUGAUGUUUGAAAUCAGCUCUUUCUUAACUCCAAAGCCAUUCUGUGCCAAAGCACCGACUGAGAUGGUAAAGGAUUGGUAACACCCCCCAGAGGAUAAGAAAGCAGGAGGGAUGGAUGUGGAGGGUCAGGAAAUGCCUCUGGUUAGUGGGUGGAGGCAGGAAGAGGAAGCUGUAUUAUUUUUCUUUCAGGAUAGCAGAGACACCUGUGUUCUUGGCUUGGACUCUGAUUUAUAGCCCCCUUCCCUGCGCAAGGCUGGAUGCACAUUUUCCUUCCAAGGGAGACUCUGUCCUCCCUCAGCCUCAGCAACAUGCAGCCUCACUUUUUAUCUUCUGCUCUGUGACAUCGUCAAUGAGUUAUUUCCCUCCUCCAGACGAGCCCCUUCUGGGACCUACCCAAAGACGCAAUUUCUUUUAUAUUUUUCUCCUCUUUCAGAAGCCUCCUUCCAGAGACACAUAAAUGCUGGAUUCAUUAUAUCACUCUCAGGUAGAAGCCUGUGUUAAAGAGGCUUCGAUCGAUCUCUUAAAUAAAGCUGGCAAAACAUUGCACUUACACUGGGCUUUCUGUUCCCUGAUGUAGUCAGAUUGGCUUUUCCUCUCGGCCCCACCUGCUUUGCCAAGGAACCCAGCAUUCUCUCCCUGCCAGGGUUUGGCUCAUAAUAAACAUACUUAGAAUUUGAACAGGUCCUUUGAUCAGCAGAUUUUUAACUCUCAUGAGGGAAAAGACAGGUUACUCAAUUCCUAUUUCUCUGCCAGGGAAGUUGAGAAAGACACGAGUGAGAUAAUUUAAAUCAGGUGAAUCUAGAGAAAAGUGCUGCAGCUCUGAUCCCUGGAUAAGCUCCCUCCUUCGUGGAGGGGGUUCCUGCUGUGACACAAUGGAAAGAGAGGCAUCUCUGAAGCACUGGGACACAGGUUCAAUCCCUGGCCUGGCACAGUGGGUUAAGGAUCUGGUGUUGCCACAGCUGCUGAAGGUGGCCACUGUGACUCAGAUCUGACCCCUGGCCCAGGAAUUCCAUAUGCCAUGGGGAGGCCAAAAAAGGAGGGAGGGAAGGAGGGAAAGAAGGAAGAGAAAAGGAAGGAAGGCAGGGGGAGGGAGGAAGGAAGGAAGGAAAGAGAGAGGGAGGGAGGAAGGAGAAAGAAAGAAAAUUGUGGUUCAAAUCCCAGCUCCACUCCUGGCUGGUUAGACAAGAUAUUUAACCUCUUUAGGCCUCAGCUCCAUGGUCUGCACCUAUGGACAGUUAAGGGCCUGGCCUUCAAUGCACAAAGUUCCUACUUCUGGAAGAAGCCACAUGGAAGUGUUUGGAAGAACAGCAGCCCUGUCGUGUCCCUGAGUGAACAGUGUUUGGGACCCCAGAACCCUCCUCCUAGUCCUCUCCAGCCUGGCCUUUGAAGAGACAUUUAACUUGAGGAAGUACACAUGCUGUUUGGGAAAUGUGAUGAAGCAGACAGGCCCCUGUGCUCCCCAGGAUGGUCCCCUUAAUCCUCAGAGCAAGAGAUCCCAGCUCCCAGCUGCCUGUGACCUAUGACUUCACUUCCUGAAACAGCACAGAAAGUGCCACUUCUGUAGCUGCCAGGAAUCAGGUGCCCAGGCCACUCACAUGGUGUAUAUUUAUAACUUCUUGGGCCUUGACUGCGGGCCAAAUGUUACAUUCACAGCUAAUUUCCUAUUAAUUAGGUGCUGCAGUUCCUCAGCUAAAAGAAUAACGAGCCAGACAGGAGCCCUGAAGUUCAAAAAUGCCACAGACUGUGGUGCAAAUAGAAGCUGGAUGGGGUGGGGGUGGGGGAUGGAGCCAACAGGGGAACCAGGGGAGGGAGAGAAAAUGUACUAUUCCUGAGGGCUGCUUCUGCGAUCAUGUUGACCUUAUAAAGUCUUUGGUAGACAUUCUGCUGAGAAUGUUCCUAACACGGGCCUCUCGGGGUCAGAAGAGAUGGAGGGGGCGUGGAGGGUCUAAUCAAAAAGUGGAAUGGGGGCUCCUUGCCUCCGGGCCAGUGUUUCU
rnacentral:lncRNA from 1 species